rnacentral:tRNA from 1 species
AUUAGGGUGGCAGAGCCUGGUAAUUGCAAAAGACCUAAAACCUUUAUACCGAGGGUUCAAAUCCCACCCCUAAUU